UGCUUGGUUACUGGCCCUAGGGGGAGUGUGGAGAGGGGGAGACCUAUGUUUGCCUCUGGGGUGACACAGAGGGUAUGUUAAGGUAUAUUUAAGCUGCUGUGACAAAGAGGUCCCCCAAUACAUAGACUAACAGGGAUAGGUGUCUAUUCUUUUUCACAUAACAGUUCAGUGUAUAGAUCUCUGUUCUAUAUGUUGUCAUCACUAAAAGCAUGGACUCUGGAACCUGGUUGCCUGGAAUCAAAUCUUGCCCUUGGUGACCUUAUAGCAAUUACUCAACCUGUGUCUCAGGUUCCUUACCUGUAAACUUGGUUGGACUUCAUAGGAUUAUUGUGAGGAUUAAG
rnacentral:lncRNA from 1 species